UCCCCCGGCCCGGCCCGGCCCCUCCUCAGCCGCCGGCGCUGUCCGGGCCCGCUCUCUGGGCUCCAGCCCGGCCCCGCUCUCUGGGCUCCAGCCCCGCUCUCUGGGCUCCAGCCCGGCCCCGCUGACCCCGGCCAUGACCCCGUCCAGCCGCCACCAGGGCUCCUGGCUCCCUGCCGUGCCCGCCUGGCCCCGCUGCUUCCCGGCAGCGCCGGCCUCGCACACGGGCACAUGGCGGCCCUGCGCACCCUCCUGCUCCUCGGGCUGCUCCUUACGGCGCGGGGGCAGAGGGCGGCGCAGAGACGGCGGCCGCCUCCUCCCCAGACUGCGCUCGAAAAAGUGAAGGCUGAAGAGGGGCUCAGCCUUCACCAGCUCUCAGGGAAGUGGUUCCUGGUUGGCAUGGCCUCCCAAUGCAGCUACCUGGCAGAGCACAGCCACCAGCUGGAGGCCACGACAGUGACAAUGACCAUCCUGGAUGGGCAGAGCCUGGCCAUCAGCACCUUCAGGAAGCUGGACAGGAUGUGCUGGGAAAUCAGGCAGCACUACCUUCCCGGCCAGGCCCCUGGACACUUCCUGCUGAAGGGCCAUAGGAAAAGCAGCAAAGUGGAUGUGGUGGUGGGUGAGGCUGAUCCCAGCAGCUUCAUCAUCCUCUAUUACCAGAAGGGCCGCAGCAUCUCUGUUAAGCUCUAUGGACGGAGCAGCCCGGUCAGUGACGCCAUCAUGGACAAGUUCGAGCAGCGCGUCAGGGCUGUGGGUCUGAGUGAGGAUGUCACCUACUACUUCCCCACCUAUGGAUUUUGUGACUCUGCAGAUGAGUUUCACGUCCUUGAUGGUGAGUUGGGGAUGCUGGGUGAUGUGCUGGGUGCCCCUAUGUGCCAGGCUUGGUCCCACACUGGGCACCAGUUGGGUGUCCCUGUCCUGGCACUGGGCUGGGCACACUGGGCCAGAUCCAUGCUGCACCGUGGCUGUGUGGUCCUGCCCCAGGGAUGUGGGAGGGCUGGGCUGGCACGGGAAAGGCCUUGCCAGACCAUUCCCGGAACAGAGCCUGUGCCCUUGUGUGGCAAGCCAUCACUCAGGAUGGGCAUCAGGUACAUUGUGGCAAAGCAAACCCCACUCACCCCCCACAUGGGUCAGACUGGGCUUGAUGGAUCUAUAUUGGUGUUUCCUGGGGUGAGGGCUGAUCUAGGAUGAGAUGUCCUGGCACAGGGACAUCCUGGGGUGAAGGCUGAGGUCCCUGGGGACAGCUCCAUCACUUGUUAUUGGUGCUUGUGAAGGCAGAGAAACAAAGCUGUAGGUGCA